UUGUAAGUGUCUAAGGGCGCAUGGUGGAUGCCUUGGCAUCGAGAGCCGAUGAAGGACGUGGGAGGCUGCGAUAUGCCUCGGGGAGCUGUCAACCGAGCGUGGAUCCGAGGAUUUCCGAAUGGGGAAACCCAGCACGAGUGAUGUCGUGCUACCCGCAUCUGAAUAUAUAGGGUGCGGGAGGGAACGCGGGGAAGUGAAACAUCUCAGUACCCGUAGGAGGAGAAAACAAUUGUGAUUCCGCAAGUAGUGGCGAGCGAACGCGGAACAGGCUAAACCGCACGCAUGGGUAACCGGGUAGGGGUUGUGUGUGCGGGGUUGUGGGAGGAUAUGUCUCAGCGCUACCCGGCUGAGAGGCAGUCAGAAAGUGUCGUGGUUAGCGGAAGUGGCCUGGGAUGGUCUGCCGUAGACGGUGAGAGCCCGGUACGCGAAAACCCGGCACCUGCCUAGUAUCAAUUCCCGAGUAGCAGCGGGCCCGUGGAAUCCGCUGUGAAUCCGCCGGGACCACCCGGUAAGCCUAAAUACUCCUCGAUGACCGAUAGCGGAUUAGUACCGUGAGGGAAUGGUGAAAAGUACCCCGGGAGGGGAGUGAAAGAGUACCUGAAACCGUGUGCCUACAAUCCGUCAGAGCCUCCUUUUCCUCUCCGGAGGAGGGUGGUGAUGGCGUGCCUUUUGAAGAAUGAGCCUGCGAGUCAGGGACAUGUCGCAAGGUUAACCCGUGUGGGGUAGCCGCAGCGAAAGCGAGUCUGAAUAGGGCGACCCACACGCGCAUACGCGCGUGUGAAUAGUGGCGUGUUCUGGACCCGAAGCGGAGUGAUCUACCCAUGGCCAGGGUGAAGCGCGGGUAAGACCGCGUGGAGGCCCGAACCCACUUAGGUUGAAGACUGAGGGGAUGAGCUGUGGGUAGGGGUGAAAGGCCAAUCAAACUCCGUGAUAGCUGGUUCUCCCCGAAAUGCAUUUAGGUGCAGCGUUGCGUGGUUCACCGCGGAGGUAGAGCUACUGGAUGGCCGAUGGGCCCUACUAGGUUACUGACGUCAGCCAAACUCCGAAUGCCGUGGUGUAAAGCGUGGCAGUGAGACGGCGGGGGAUAAGCUCCGUACGUCGAAAGGGAAACAGCCCAGAUCGCCGGCUAAGGCCCCAAGCGUGUGCUAAGUGGGAAAGGAUGUGCAGUCGCAAAGACAACCAGGAGGUUGGCUUAGAAGCAGCCACCCUUGAAAGAGUGCGUAAUAGCUCACUGGUCAAGUGAUUGUGCGCCGAUAAUGUAGCGGGGCUCAAGCACACGCCGAA
rnacentral:rRNA from 1 species